GACGAACGCUGGCGGCGUGCUUAACACAUGCAAGUCGAGCGGUAAGGCCCUUUCGGGGGUACACGAGCGGCGAACGGGUGAGUAACACGUGGGUGACCUGCCCUCAGCUCUGGGAUAAGCCUGGGAAACCGGGUCUAAUACCGGAUAUGACUCCAUGACGCAUGUUGUGGGGUGGAAAGCCUUGUGCGGCUGAGGAUGGGCCCGCGGCCUAUCAGCUUGUUGGUGGGGUGAUGGCCUACCAAGGCGACGACGGGUAGCCGGCCUGAGAGGGCGACCGGCCACACUGGGAUUGAGACACGGCCCAGACUCCUACGGGAGGCAGCAGUGGGGAAUCUUGCGCAAUGGGCGAAAGCCUGACGCAGCGACGCCGCGUGA
rnacentral:rRNA from 1 species